rnacentral:sRNA from 1 species
AACCAACAGGGAUUGCCUCAGUAACGGCGAGUGAAGCGGCAACAGCUCAAAUUUGAAAUCUGGCCGCAAGGUCCGAGUUGUAAUUUGCAGAGGAUGCUUUUGGCGAGGUGCCUUCCGAGUUCCCUGGAACGGGACGCCAUAGAGGGUGAGAGCCCCGUACGGUUACGCACCGAGCCUCUGUAAAGCUCCUUCGACGAGUCGAGUAGUUUGGGAAUGCUGCUCUAAAUGGGAGGUGUACGUCUUCUAAAGCUAAAUACCGGCCAGAGACCGAUAGCGCACAAGUAGAGUGAUCGAAAGAUGAAAAGCACUUUGAAAAGAGGGUUAAAAAGUACGUGAAAUUGUUGAAAGGGAAGCAUUUAUGACCAGACUUGGGCAUGGUUGAACAUCCGGCGUUCUCGCCGGUGCACUCUGCCAGCCCAGGCCAGCAUCAGUUUGCCCCGGGGGAUAAAGGCGGCGGGAAUGUAGCUCUCUCCGGGGAGUGUUAUAGCCCGUCGUGCAAUGCCCUGGGGCGGACUGAGGUUCGCGCUUCGGGCA